rnacentral:rRNA from 1 species
UUGACGGGACCCGCACAAGCGGUGGAUGAUGUGGUUUAAUUCGAUGCAACGCGAAAAACCUUACCCACCUUUGACAUGGCAGGAAUCCUGAAGAGAUUUGGGAGUGCUCGAAAGAGAACCUGCACACAGGUGCUGCAUGGCUGUCGUCAGCUCGUGUCGUGAGAUGUUGGGUUAAGUCCCGCAACGAGCGCAACCCUUGCCAUUAGUUGCUACGAAAGGGCACUCUAAUGGGACUGCCGGUGACAAACCGGAGGAAGGUGGGGAUGACGUCAAGUCCUCAUGGCCCUUAUAGGUGGGGCUACACACGUCAUACAAUGGCCGGUACAGAGGGUAGCCAACCCGCGAGGGGGAGCCAAUCCCACAAAGCCGGUCGUAGUCCGGAUCGCAGUCUGCAACUCGACUGCGUGAAGUCGGAAUCGCUAGUAAUCGCGGAUCAGCAUGUCGCGGUGAAUACGUUCCCGGGUCUU